AUAAAAGCGAUGACAAAGACAUGAAUUAUUUUGAUGGUUUCCAGAGAGGGAAGUAUUGCUGAGAACUUCCUAACGCAGAAGAUAAUUUACCACUUUUGAGCUGUAUUAGUGAAAUGAAGUAACUAAUUCCGUUAAUGCUACGUUACAGCGCCAUGAGUUAACACCAUUGUUGGAUGGUGUUAGAAAUUUGGGUGGAAUCACGGGUAAAUCAUACUCGUCCCUUUA
rnacentral:ncRNA from 1 species